rnacentral:rRNA from 1 species
UACAGAGGUGCCAAGCGUUAGGCGGAAUCACUGGGCUUAAAGCGCGUGUAGGCGGGUCGUUAAGUGUCCGAGUGAAAUCCCACGGCUCAACCGUGGAACUGCCGGGCAUACUGGCGAUCUUGAGGCAUUCAGGGGCGAGCGGAACAAAUGGUGGAGCGGUGAAAUGCGUAGAUAUCAUUUGGAACGCCAAUGGUGAAAACAGCUCGCUGGGGACUCGCUGACGCUGAGACACGAAAGCCAGGGGAGCGAACGGG